ACGGGUGAGUAAUGUCUGGGGAUCUACCCGAUAGAGGGGGAUAACCACUGGAAACGGUGGCUAAUACCGCAUAACGUCGCAAGACCAAAGAGGGGGACCUUCGGGCCUCUCACUAUCGGAUGAACCCAGAUGGGAUUAGCUAGUAGGCGGGGUAACGGCCCACCUAGGCGACGAUCCCUAGCUGGUCUGAGAGGAUGACCAGCCACACUGGAACUGAGACACGGUCCAGACUCCUACGGGAGGCAGCAGUGGGGAAUAUUGCACAAUGGGCGCAAGCCUGAUGCAGCCAUGCCGCGUGUAUGAAGAAGGCCUUCGGGUUGUAAAGUACUUUCAGCGGGGAGGAAGGCGAUGUGGUUAAUAACCGCGUCGAUUGACGUUACCCGCAGAAGAAGCACCGGCUAACUCCGUGCCAGCAGCCGCGGUAAUACGGAGGGUGCAAGCGUUAAUCGGAAUUACUGGGCGUAAAGCGCACGCAGGCGGUCUGUUAAGCCAGAUGUGACAUCCCCGGGCUUAACCUGGGAACUGCAUUUGAAACUGGCAGGCUUGAGUCUCGUAGAGGGGGGUAGAAUUCCAGGUGUAGC
rnacentral:rRNA from 1 species